UACGGGGGGAGCAAGCGUUGUUCGGAUUUACUGGGCGUAAAGGGUGCGUAGGCGGCCAUCGCAAGUCAGUUGUGAAAGCUCUGGGCUUAACCCAGAAAGGUCAACUGAUACUGCGGGGCUAGAGUGCAGAAGGGGCAACUGGAAUUCUCGGUGUAGCGGUGAAAUGCGUAGAUAUCGAGAGGAACACCUGCGGCGAAGGCGGGUUGCUGGGCUGACACUGACGCUGAAGUGCGAAAGCUAGGGGAGCGAACGGG
rnacentral:rRNA from 1 species